AAUACCUUCAUCCAGAAUCCAGACACUCAUUAGAGGCUAUGGGAAGUGUCUAGAGGCUGUUAUUUUAGCAAAAGGAGGUGUGAUGUUUCUAUUGGGGUGCCCAAAUUUAUGCACCUGUCUAAUUAAGUUUUGAUGCAUAUUGCACAUCAAAUAAACCUCAUUUCACGGCUGAAAUAUUACUGUGUCCAUCAUAGGACUGGUUUUUAUUUUUUAAGUUGAGGUUUGUUAAACGGACAACAGGGUCAAAUAAAAGGAUUACAAAACACA